rnacentral:lncRNA from 1 species
GGCUGUGUUUACUGUUGCAUGCAGCAAUCAAUGGGGAGCACUUGGACCACAUAUAAAUAGAUUUCAAAAAUUUAUUUUAUAAAUAUGUAUUUUAUUGUCGCAUCUAGAGCCCUGUUAAAGAGUGUGCAAUUUUUUCCAAUAUAAAAUAUGUCCUAUCCCAUGCAGCCUAAUGUGCAGCGACUGCUAUUGAUUAGCUCUUUCAACAAACAGCAUAAAAGUCACAAAAAGAAAAGCUCAACCAGAAUCAAAAAGUGGCGUGAUUUUGUAGAUUUUUUUAUUGAAAGCUUCAUCAAAAGAAAAAUAAACAGAAGUUUAAACCUAACAUCCACUGGUCUACAGACACUCUCAGGAUCACAGCUCGAGCACAUGGGAGGCAAUACGCUGUUUCCUGACCAGUCCAAUGAACGAACGAACAUUCGUCAUUCAAUGACCUCAACCGUGACAGCCAAUCAGAUAUACAGAUAAAAAUGCAUGGCUUGGACCUCACAUCCAAUGAAUGGGAGCACAGAGUUUCUAGCCAGCGAAAACCUUCGAGUGGAUGAAAGGUGUUUAGCUUACUAAAUUACAGUUGGGAUGAGAACUCCAUCCUACAGUUAGAAAAACCUUCAGCUUAAUCGGACACAUUUAUUCACUCUUUAAUGAAAAGCAUGAAGGCUGCAGAGUGUAUAACGCUCACGACGUCAACACACACCUCUCGUAUGAGGCACCAGCCCGAAUUUCCUCUCCAUUCCCAAGGCCCUGACCACUUAAAUACUGAAUGCUUGAUAGCAGCGAGCACAUGAUAAAAAGAACUCUCCAAAAAGACAGUGGAUAACAGACACAAAACACAGUGACUUUUUUUUGUUUAAACAGCUGAAAAUGAAAAGCUAGCUUGUUGUCCUUACUGAAGCAGUGCUGUCUUGCUCAUUACGAACUUGGCAUCGCUUUAAUCCAAAGUGUCAUAUCUCACUGCAAUGGUCAUCACAGAGGAUAAAACACACCAACUUUGCUUUAAUACUGUCCCCUAGUGGCUAAUUGAGAUCAUUACGUAGUUGUAUAGAGGUCAUGUUGUAGGAAUACAGGGGAAAAAAACCAAAGCUUUCAUGAUGAUGUUCAUAGUCUCUCGUUGGCCCUUUAAUGACAGAUUAAUUUAUUCCCAGUGCACCUCGACAACUCUAAUUACCCGACUGUAAAACUAGGAGGCGUAUUUAUGAGCCAUAUGACCAUGAAGGCAGCAAAGACAGUUCAUAAUUCACCAUGUGUAUUGAAACUCUUUGCGGACGUGUUAAUAUAGCGCUUUCCUAUCAGAUUACAUCAAAAUAACAUCUACUUCAUGGUAAAUAAAGGACAGCAGCCUUGUUUUUAUGUUAAAGUAUAGUCUGUCCAAAAAUGACAAUUCUGUCAUUUAGGCUACUCAUGUUGUUCCAAACAUGGCUUACUUUCUUCUGCGGAAAUGCGGAAACCGAAAAUGUUUGGUUAACAUUGUUCUUCAUUUUGACAGAAUUGUUAUUUUUGGAUGGACUACGUUUCCCCUUUCUACUCUUCUGUUUGCUAGUUUCCCCCCCUCUGGAAUGGGCAGCCUGAUAAAAAGAAAGCAGAUUUCAGAUAUGGAAGGUCGAAAUGUCACACGUGAUAUUUCUAACCCUAAUUCCGAGCUGUCAAGGCACCUGAGCAACCGCCGAAUCCCACGAUGAUGGGAACCGUAGGCUCUGUCCCAAAUGGAGUAUAUUUGAUGUGUAUUCACGAUGGUCAUCCUGCAUCCAUGAGACCUUAAAGGGUUACUCCACCCCAAAAUGAAAAUGUUUUAAUUAAUCACUUACCCCCAAGUCAUUCCAAACCCAUAAAAGCUUCGUUCGUCUUCGGAACACAAAUUAAGAUAUUUUGGAUGAAAACCGGGAGGCUUGUGACUGUCCCAUUGACUGCCUAGUAAAUUACACUGUCAAGGUCCAGAAAAGUAUGAAAGACAUCAGAAUAGUCCAUCUGCCAUCAGUGGU